GCUUGUCUCAAAGAUUAAGCCAUGCAUGUCUAAGUAUAAAUAAUUCUAUACUGUGAAACUGCGAAUGGCUCAUUAUAUCAGUUAUAGUUUAUUUGAUAGUCCCUUACUACUUGGAUAACCGUAGUAACUCUAGAGCUAAUACAUGCGCAAAUUCCCGACUGUCGCGGGGAGGGAUGUAUUUAUUAGUUAAAAAGCCAAUGCGGGUUCUGCCCGGUUUUGUGGUGAAUCAUAGUAACUGUUCGAAUCGCAUGGCUUCACGCCGGCGAUAGUUCAUUCAAAUUUCUGCCCUAUCAGCUUUCGACGGUAGUGUAGUGGACUACCGUGGCGUU
rnacentral:rRNA from 1 species